rnacentral:rRNA from 1 species
AGAGUUUGAUCCUGGCUCAGGACGAACGCUGGCGGCAUGCUUAACACAUGCAAGUGGAGCGACGAACCCUUACGGGGGCAAAGCCGCGAACGGGUGAGUAACACGUGGGGAAUCUGCCCCGAUGACCGGAAUAACUCUAGGAAACCAGAGCUAAUACCGGAUGUGCCUCCCACCAUCAGGUGGACAGGUAAAGAGAGCUUCGGCUAUUCGCAUCGGGAGGAUCCCGCGGAGCAUUAGGUAGUUGGUGGGGUAAAGGCCUACCAAGCCGACGAUGCUUAGCUGGUCUGAGAGGACGAUCAGCCACACUGGAACUGAGACACGGUCCAGACUCCUACGGGAGGCAGCAGUGGGGAAUCUUGCACAAUGGGCGACAGCCUGAUGCAGCAAUGCCGCGUGAGGGAAGACGGCCUUCGGGUUGUAAACCUCUUUCAGUUGGGAUGAAGGUUGGACGGUGAAUAGCCGGCUCAACUGACCGUACCUUCAGAAGAAGCCCCGGCUAACUACGUGCCAGCAGCCGCGGUAAUACGUAGGGGGCAAGCGUUGUCCGGAAUCAUUGGGCGUAAAGCGCGUGUAGGCGGUUACGUAAGUCUGCUGUGAAAGUCGGAGGCUCAACCUUCGAAAGCCGGUGGAUACUGCGUGACUAGAGUACGGAAGAGGAGAGUGGAAUUCCUGGUGUAGCGGUGAAAUGCGCAGAUAUCAGGAGGAACACCAACGGCGAAGGCAGCUCUCUGGGACGUUACUGACGCUGAGACGCGAAAGCGUGGGGAGCAAACAGGAUUAGAUACCCUGGUAGUCC